GUCUGAGUGGCAGUUAGCAGGGCCUGGUGGAGAUGGUGUCCGCCACAGGCAGUCUCGGGUCAGCAUUCAAGACUCCUACAGUGGAAACACUGGGCGUGCUUAACAAUUACGAAGCUGGAGUGGUGGUGCAUGCCUUUAUCCAGGCACUAGCCUGGUCUACAGAGUGAGUUCCAGAACAGUCAGGGCUAUGCAGAGAAACCCUAUCUUGGGAAAAGUGAAUGUUCUCAGAAAUCACUGAAGAGAUUUAGUAUUCUCAUUACUCAACUAACUGCUGAGGUAAUGCCUUCGGUCACCAGCUCCAUCUAGCCAUCCUAGACGACUGAAAACAUCAUAUGCCUAAAUGUAUGCAGUUCCCGUCCACUGAAGCAGGAAUGAACAGACAAUGUAAGGCAGAGCAUGCUGUGAGGACUCUGAAAUGCACUCUGCUCUUGGGCUCCUAGCAGCUGCAGUGAAGUGACGCUGACAGGCACUUCUCAGAACCCAUGGAUGCUGAGAGCCAGGGGUCCAGCUGCCUGGGACAGCCAAGCUUGAACUGAAGACGGCACCUGAACAGCACAGCACAGGAGAGCAGCAAGUCCUGCGCAAGGCCCUUGCCCUUCCCACUCUCUUCCUCACCAAGAAGUGGGCUUUGAGACCUACAGGCAGGAGCCAAUCCCCAGCCUCACUCAGGCUCUGGCCAAACAGGAGACAGAAUACCUAGCUGCCCACUCUGACCCUGAGAAUCUGAAAGAUAACCCAACUGGAAGGCAGACUGGUCCAGGGAGGGCAGUGUGGCCAACCAGAGGAUGCAUGCAGUGGGGAGAACUCACAAAAGGACAGAGAGGAAGGAAAAAUGGGCUCCUGAACUGGAAGUUUCCAGAAGGUGGAGUACAGGCUGAAGAGAGAUGUCAUCAGUGGUGCAAACUACAAUACCAAUCUCUAAGAUAAAAGAUGCUCACUGGAGAGACAGUGACAUGACUAUUACGAGAUAACCAACUGCUUUCUGUUUGGAUCUGAAGUCUGCUCCACAGGACAGAAUUCAUACCUGGUAUUGUAAACCUGGUCAAAAGCCCAUGGCUACAAGGUCUAAUCCCCUAGGGGAAAGCCUACUCCUGUUAUCUUCCUAAUGGAUGUGAUGCCCAAACUACCUUCUAAAUAUAUUUAAACCCCUAGUCAGAGCAACUUCCACCAUUUGCAAUAGACUGUAUUUAAUGCAGAAGAAUAAGGAACUAGUGAGUGCUUAGCCUUAAACCAGCCAUCUGUAUCAAUAUGCUCCUUGGCUCCAAGGCUCAGGAAAUAUCCUGGAAGUGAGGCAGACAGAAUCUAAGAGGUAGAGGAUGAAGAGUUUUGUGAAACAAUAAUGUCAAGACAUGACAUGCUGCUACACACAUGAAAUCACAGCAGCUGUGGUUAUGUGCAAAGAUGGGACCCCGUUAACAUUCCUUCACAACUGAGGGGAGGUGCUCGGGAAAGGUGGCCAGGGGAGGGAGCCACCAAAGAAGGUUAAGUUGCCCAUGCUCCAGUAAACUCCUGCCCAUGUUCAUGCCAACAACCCUGAUCAAACUGAGGGUCACAAAACAAAAAGAAAAAAAAAAAAGAUAAGCAGGCUUCAGCGACUCACACUUCAUAUGCAGAGACAGAUCAAAGGACAUUAAAGCCAGUAACACGUGUGCUUUUGAACCUUGUAUUCAGGAGGCAGGACGAUCACUGGUUUAAAGCCAACCUGGGCUACACUGACACCCUGUCUCCAAAAAAAAAA